rnacentral:rRNA from 1 species
UACGAAGGGGGCUAGCGUUGCCCGGAAUCACUGGGCGUAAAGCGCGCGUAGGCGGUCUCUUAAGUCGGUGGUGAAAUCCUGGAGCUCAACUCCAGAACUGCCUUCGAUACUGAGAGUCUCGAGUCCGGGAGAGGUGAGUGGAACUGCGAGUGUAGAGGUGAAAUUCGUAGAUAUUCGCAAGAACACCAGUGGCGAAGGCGGCUCACUGGCCCGGUACUGACGCUGAGGAGCGAAAGCGUGGGGAGCGAACAGG